CCUACGGGUGUCAGCAGUGAGGAAUAUUGGUCAAUGGGCGCGAGCCUGAACCAGCCAAGUAGCGUGAAGGAUGACUGCCCUACGGGUUGUAAACUUCUUUUAUAAAGGAAUAAAGUGCGGCACGUGUGCCUUUUUAUAUGUACUUUAUGAAUAAGGAUCGGCUAAUUCCGUGCCAGCAGCCGCGGUAAUACGGCGGAUCCGGGCGUUAUCCGGAUUUGUUGGGUUUAAAGGGAGCGUAGGUGGAUUGUUAAGUUAGUUGUGAAAGUUUGCGGCUCAACCGUACAAUUGCAGUUGAAACUGGCAGUCUUGAGUACAGGAGAGGUGGGCGGAAUUCGUGGUGUAGCGGUGAAAUGCUUAGAUAUCACGAAGAACUCCGAUUGCGAAGGCAGUUCACUGCACUGCAACUGACACUGAGGCUCGAAAGUGUGGGUAUCAAACAGGAUUAGAUACCCGAGUAGUC
rnacentral:rRNA from 1 species